UCGAUGACGACCGGCGCACGGGUGAGUAACGCGUAUGCAACCUACCCGUAGCUGAGGGAUAGCCCGGAGAAAUCCGGAUUAAUACCUCAUAAUACUUUUAAAUCACCUGGUUUAGAUUUUAAAGCUCCGGCGGCUACGAAUGGGCAUGCGUGACAUUAGUUUGUUGGUGAGGUAACGGCUCACCAAGACUACGAUGUCUAGGGGGUCUUAAAGGAUGAUCCCCCACACUGGUACUGAGACACGGACCAGACUCCUACGGGAGGCAGCAGUGAGGAAUAUUGGUCAAUGGGCGAAAGCCUGAACCAGCCAAUCCGCGUGUAGGAUGAAUGCUCUAUGAGUUGUAAACUACUUAUAUACAGGAAGAAACUUUCAUACGUGUAUGAAGCUGACUGUACUGUAAGAAUAAGCACCGGCUAACUCCGUGCCAGCAGCCGCGGUAAUACGGAGGGUGCAAGCGUUAUCCGGAUUUAUUAGGUCUAAGGGGUGCGUAGGCGGAUAAUUAAGUCGGUGGUGAAAUCCUACAGCUUAACUGUAGAACUGCCAUUGAUACUGGUUGUCUUGAAUUUAGUUGAGGUAGGCGGAAUGUGUAGUGUAGCGGUGAAAUGCUUAGAUAUUACACAGAACACCGAUUGCGAAGGCAGCUUACUAAGCUAUAAUUGACGCUGAGGCACGAAAGCGUGGGGAGCGAACAGGAUUAGAUACCCUGGUAGUCCACGCCGUAAACGAUGAUUACUCGUUGUAUGUCAAAUUGAUGGCAUGUGACCAAGCGAAAGCAUUAAGUAAUCCACCUGGGGAGUACGUUCGCAAGAAUGAAACUCAAAGGAAUUGACGGGGGCCCGCACAAGCGGAGGAACAUGUGGUUUAAUUCGAUGAUACGCGAGGAACCUUACCUGGGCUUAAAUGUAGAGUGACUUUUGCCGAAAGGCAUUUUCCCUUCGGGGCAAUCUACAAGGUGCUGCAUGGUUGUCGUCAGCUCGUGCCGUGAGGUGUCGGGUUAAGUCCCAUAACGAGCGCAACCCUCAUCGUUAGUUACCAGCGGAUAAUGCCGGGGACUCUAGCGAGACUGCCACCGUAAGGUGAGAGGAAGGUGGGGAUGACGUCAAAUCAGCACGGCCCUUAUGUCCAGGGCUACACACGUGUUACAAUGGCCAGUACAAAGGGAUCUACCAGGCAACUGGAUGCAAAUCUCGAAAACUGGUCUCAGUUCGGAUCGGAGUCUGCAACUCGACUUCGUGAAGUUGGAUUCGCUAGUAAUCGAGUAUCAGCAACGACUCGGUGAAUACGUUCCCGGGCCUUGUACACACCGCCCGUCAAGCCAUGGAAGCUGGGGGUGCCUAAAGUCCGUAACCGUAAGGAGCGGCCUAGGGUAAAACUAGUGACUGGGGCUAAGUCGUAACAAGGUA
rnacentral:rRNA from 1 species